CCUACGGGAGGCUGCAGUGGGGAAUAUUGGGCAAUGGAGGAAACUCUGACCCAGCAACGCCGCGUGAAUGAUGAAGGUCUUCGGAUUGUAAAGUUCUUUUCUAAGGGAAGAAGAAAGUGACGGUACCUGACUAAGAAGCCCCGGCUAACUACGUGCCAGCAGCCGCGGUAAUACGUAGGGGGCAAGCGUUAUCCGGGUUUACUGGGUUUAAAGGGUGCGUAGGCGGUUCGAUAAGUUAGAGGUGAAAUCCCGGGGCUCAACUCCGGCACUGCCUCUGAUACUGUCGGGCUAGAGUUUAGUUGCGGUAGGCGGAAUGUAUGGUGUAGCGGUGAAAUGCAUAGAGAUCAUACAGAACACCGAUUGCGAAGGCAGCUUACCAAACUACGACUGACGUUGAGGCACGAAAGCGUGGGGAGCAAACAGGAUUAGAUACCCGAGUAGUC
rnacentral:rRNA from 1 species